rnacentral:rRNA from 1 species
AGCAGCCGCGGUAAUUCCAGCUCCAAUAGCGUAUAUUAAAGUUGUUGCAGUUAAAAAGCUCGUAGUUGAAUUUCGGGAUUAGUGCGCUGGUCAUGCCUUUGGUAUGUACUGGUGUUACUGGUUCCUACCUUCUGAAGAACCGUUAUGUCAUUUAUUUGGUGUGGCGGGGAAUCAGGACUGUUACUUUGAAAAAAUUAGAGUGUUUAAAGCAGGCUCGCGCUUGAAUACAUUAGCAUGGAAUAAUGAAAUAGGACGUUUGACCCUAUUUUGUUGGUUUCUAGGAUCGACGUAAUGAUUAAUAGGGAUAGUUGGGGGCAUUAGUAUUCAAUUGUCAGAGGUGAAAUUCUUGGAUUUAUUGAAGACUAACUACUGCGAAAGCAUUUGCCAAGGAUGUUUUCAUUAAUCAAGAACGAAAGUUAGGGGAUCGAAGACGAUCAGAUACCGUCGUAGUCUUAACCAUAAACUAUGCCGACUAGGGAUCGGAUGAUGUUAUUUUUAAUGACUCAUUCGGCGCCUUACG